CAGAAGAAACGCCUCUUGAUGCCACGCGUUGCUUUCGUAGUGUUUUGGGAGGAGAAAACGAGGGGAGAAAAAAUCAGUUUGAAGGGGAAGAAAAAAGUUUGGUCUCGGUUUCCUCCUUUUCAUCUCCACGUUGAUUUCUUCUGGGUUUUAUGAUUCUUGUUCAAGUCUUUGAUCAGAUUAUUUAAUCGCAUCAAAGACCCAAUUUUUAAUUUGUCUGCGUGAUCAUCCUCAGAUGGGUGGAUCAGACGAGAACAAACACGGAGUUAUCGGACCCAUGAACCCACAAGGUGGUUUACGUGGAGGAAAGGUGAAUCCGGCGAAUGGGCAGACACGAAGAGCACUCAG